rnacentral:rRNA from 1 species
GAGCAAGACCAACAGGGAUUGCCUCAGUAACGGCGAGUGAAGCGGCAACAGCUCAAAUUUGAAAUCUGGCUCUUUCAGAGUCCGAGUUGUAAUUUGUAGAAGAUGCUUUGGGUGUGGCUCCGGUCUAAGUUCCUUGGAACAGGACGUCAUAGAGGGUGAGAAUCCCGUAUGUGACUGGCUGCCUUCGCCCGUGUAAAGCUCUUUCGACGAGUCGAGUUGUUUGGGAAUGCAGCUCUAAAUGGGAGGUAUAUUUCUUCUAAAGCUAAAUAUGGGCCAGAGACCGAUAGCGCACAAGUAGAGUGAUCGAAAGAUGAAAAGCACUUUGGAAAGAGAGUUAAACAGUACGUGAAAUUGUUGAAAGGGAAGCGCUUGCAACCAGACUUGCACGCCGUCGAUCAUCCUGGGUUCUCCCUGGUGCACUCGGCGGCGUUCAGGCCAGCAUCGGUUUCGGUGGUUGGAUAAAGGCCUUGGGAAUGUAGCUCCUCUCGGGGAGUGUUAUAGCCCUCGGUGCAAUGCAGCCUACCGGGACCGAGGACCGCGCUUCGGCUAGGAUGCUGGCGUAAUGGUUGUAAGCGACCCGUCUUGAAACACGGACCAAGGAGUCUAACAUCUAUGCGAGUGUUUGGGUGUUAAACCCAUACGCGUAAUUAACGUGAACGGAGGUGAGAACCCUUUAGGGUGCAUCAUCGACCGAUCCUGAUGUCUUCGGAUGGAUUUGAGUAAGAGCAUAGCUGUUGGGACCCGAAAGAUGGUGAACUAUGCCUAGAUAGGGUGAAGCCAGAGGAAACUCUGGUGGAGCUCGCAGCGGUUCUGACGUGCAAAUCGAUCGUCAAAUUUGGGUAUAGGGGCGAAAGACUAAUCGAACCAUUAACUACUAGGUGGUUAAU